GCACUUUUAGGGGUAAACGUAAUACUAGAUUUGGCUACUAAUUACCCGUGGGGAAAAAGUAAAAAAAUAAAAAACCAAGUCCAGCAGAUUAGACUCCGUACUGUAUAUCUCUGGAAGAGUCUUUCUCUGUUCAUUUAUUACCGUCCAAUCCUUCGUAAGGGUUGAGAAUUUAUUUCAAAUUUACUUCGGCUUUUACAAUUUGGACUUCGGAGAUCGCCCUGCGGUGUGCGCUUUGCCUGGGUUCCACGUUCGCGGCAUCCGAUUUGACGAUUUUUGGAGAAAUUUGCAGUUUCGGCUUAUUUUGGUUAUGAGUCGCUGAAAAGUGGUGGCGGAAUCUGCAGCAGCGGCUGGUCGCAUGGAAAGUAUUUUAGUUGCAAGAAAAUGAGGUGUUUCGUGUGUUAUUUAAGAUAAAUCGGCUUAUAUUGGCUUCAUACGGUAGCGACUUCUCAGAGACAUGAACUGUUAUUGCCCUGGAGCAGCACAAACUUGAAGUCAUUGUAGAUAAAUUUGGCCCAUUUUCCAGCAUUUUUGAGAAAGAUUGCCGGUGUAACCCGCCAUAGCAACUGAUCUUAUAUGAAUAUUGGUUAUGCAGCAGCAUGGUAACAGUGACCAGUCGCAUGGAAACUUGCAGUUUUUGUGGAUCAAAUUGGCUUCUGUUGUCUCCAUUGUGGUUAAAGAUUGGUGAUAUGGUCUACGAUAGCACUUAUAUUCCUAUUUGCAAAAAGGGAAGUGUUCCAUGCCUUGGAAUAGAACAAUCAAGUGUUUCAUGCCUUGGAGUAGGAGAAAUUUGUAGUUUCUCUAGAUAAAUCCACUUAUUUCGGCACAAAUUCAGUAAAGAUUGGUCACCAAAUCAAUAGUGUCUGAUUUUAUGGUAUGCAGUUUAUGUGCUUAAAAAAUGAAAUGUUUAUGCCUUUAAGCAAAAGAAAUUUGCAGUUUAUGCAGAUAUAAGUUGACGAAUUUGGAGGUUUUAUUGCCAUGAAAAGAAUGGAGCCAAUCUGCGAGUUUUGCCUCAAAAUCAGAUCCACAGUGUACUGUAGAGCAGAUUCUGCUAGUCUCUGUUUAUCAUGUGACCGUAAUGUUCAUUCUGCAAAUGCUCUCUCAGAACGCCAUGCUCGUACCCUUCUUUGUGAUGGAUGCAACGUCCAGCCUGCAGCAAUUCAGUGCAUAAACCAUAAGUUAUUCCUUUGUCAAAAUUGUGGUAAAAAUACCCAUUUCAGCUCGGAGCCACAACAUAACAAAAGGCCUCUUAAUUGUUAUACAGGGUGCCCAUCAGCAGCACAGCUUGCUAAUCUUUGGGGUUGCAAUUUGGAUGAAAGAGAAGGGUCAAUUUCAGCUUUUCCUAUUGAGAAAGGCUGGGAUAAAUCAAGGGCAGACAGUUUGUUGAAUUCUCCCGUGGGUUUUGUGGAGAAUUAUGGUUCAUGGAUUGAUUCGUCUUCUUCUUCAAUGGUUGCUUUGUCAUUGUCUGAGUCAAAUUCCAAUGUCCAUACAAUGGUGAUUUCACAAGAGGAUGCUUCUUUUGGUACAGUUGAUUCAAGCAAGAGUCGUGAAGAUCAUCAGUUCCAUUCAAAACAAAAUCACAUCAUUGUUCAGCAAUUGCUCGAUUUGCAAAAAUUGCAACCCUUGAGUUCAAUGCAAGUACAGGACCAACACGAAGUGCAAGCUUGUGAUCUGGUACAGGGUCAAGUUGAUGCACAAUCCAUGGGAAGUUUGCUGUCUAGGUCAUUGAAGGAUGAUUUUGAAUUACAAACACAGCAAUUGGGGAGGCAUGAGAAAGGUCAGCAACAAGAGGACAAGAAUCUGACUGAGCAGCAAAUGCAAGAUGUUUCUUUGCUUAUACCCAUGUCACAGCAACUUAAAUCAGACACUAAUGUUGAAAUGCCCAUUCAAGGGGACUCUUUUUGGCGCUGUACUUCAGCAAAUCAAAGUAACCAGCUAUGGGUUCAAAACAUGCAAGAUCUUGGAAUUUAUGAUGAUGAUGAAUGCUGCGAUGCAUUUCAUGUGUGUGAUGUCGAUCUUACUUUUGAAAACUAUGAAGACAUAUUUGGUGGCCCCCAAGGUAAAGGCACUUCGAUGUUUGAGGAUGGGGACACAGCCUGUUCCUCAAUGGAUAAAGAUAUCUCUAUCGCUCAUUCAAGUGGAUGCAAUGAAAGCUCCCACAAGCCAUCUGCAGAAGCUCCAGCUGGCUAUAUAGCUUUAUCAUCUCAGGAGCCUGGGAAUGAGGAAGAAGCUGCCUUGCCUGGAACAGGUGGAGUUGUUCAAGGUGUAACAGAUCGAAGUGGGCCUAGCAAUUCAAAGUCUUUUCUGCCAGUUCAUUCUAGUUUUUCACUUUCUCUAUCAAGCUUAAGUGGGGAAAGCAGUGCUGCUGACUAUCAUGAUUGUGGUUUAUCACCGCUGUUUCUGAAGGGAGAGCCUCUGUGGGGGCCUUCAAAUUCAGAUUCUGUAGUUUCACAGGCUAGGGACAAUGCAAUGAUGAGAUACAAGGAGAAAAAGAAGUCACGGAUGUUUGAGAAAAAAAUACGCUAUGCGUCUCGCAAAACUAGAGCGGAUUCAAGAAAGCGUGUGAAAGGUCGCUUUGUGAAGGCAGGUGAAGCUUAUGAUUAUGAUCCUCUAGCCAUGACCAGAAGCUAUUAAAAUAUUAAAAAAUUCAAGUAUCUGUAAUUUGCUCCACUAUUUGCGUGUGUCAAUUUCUCAGUUGGCAACAAUACAAGUCUUUAUCCAUUGGUUGCAACAUACUUGACCUUGCUUAUGCAUAUGAAGUUGAACUACUUUAUUCAGUCUCAAAUAACCUGCCAUUCUAAGAAUGGUUGGGGUGUCCCAGAUCCAGUAAUUGAUGGCAUGAAAGAAACUGCGUUGCAUUUUGAAUAUGUCCUUGUAUAUUGCAGUGACAGAAAUAUGAUGUUCAUUUCCUUGACCAUGAAUUCAUUUGAUAUAGUCUCAGGUUCAUUAAAGAUUAAAACAAUAUGCUAGUGUACAAGUAUUAGAUAUUUGGAAAUGAUGAAGCUUGUAUUUAAGAAGUAUUAGUCCAAAACCAUGUCACUAAAUAUUUUGUAUCAAAUAGAGCUUCCUCUCAAAAGCUUGACAAGUUAAAAUGAUUACUUUACCUAAAGCAAAAGUGAAAGUUGAGGUUCA